rfam:Capsicum annuum cultivar Zunla-1 chromosome 8, whole genome shotgun sequence
UGAUGAUGAUGAGGGAAAUUUCUGAGCAUCCCCUUAAAUUUCUCCCAAGCUUGGUGGAGAUUUUCUCAUUCUUUCUACCUGAAACUCAAAAUCUCGCUUCUCAAAUG